UUAGCCCUACGGGGCGCAGCAGUAGGGAAUCUUCCACAAUGGACGAAAGUCUGAUGGAGCAACGCCGCGUGAGUGAAGAAGGGUUUCGGCUCGUAAAACUCUUUUGGUAGUGAAGAAAGAUAGAGGUAGUAACUGGCCUUUAUUUGACGGUAAUUACUUAGAAAGUCACGGCUAACUACUUGCCAGCAGCCGCGGUAAUACGUAGGUGGCAAGCGUUGACCGGAUUUAUUGGGCGUAAAGCGAGUG
rnacentral:rRNA from 1 species